UACCAGCUCUUCGAGUGGUAGGGAUGAUUAUUGGGCUUAAAGCGUCCGUAGCCGGCUUAGCAAGUUUCCUGUUAAAUUCAGCGACCUAAUCGUUGAGCCGCGGGAAAUACUACUAGGCUAGGAGGCGGGAGAGGUCGACGGUACUUCUGGGGUAGGGGUGAAAUCCUAUAAUCCCGGGAGGACCACCAGUGGCGAAGGCUGUCGACUAGAACGCGCUCGACGGUGAGGGACGAAAGCUGGGGGAGCGAACCGGAUUAGAUACCCGGGUAGUCCCAGCUGUAAACGAUGCGGGCUAGGUGUUGGGGUGGCUACGUGCCACUUCAGUGCCGCAGGGAAGCCAUUAAGCCCGCCGCCUGGGGAGUACGGCCGCAAGGCUGAAACUUAAAGGAAUUGGCGGGGGAGCACCACAAGGCGUGAAGCUUGCGGUUC
rnacentral:rRNA from 1 species